rnacentral:rRNA from 1 species
CUGCGAGUGAAGCGGCAGAAGCUCAAAUUUGAAAUCCGGCACCUGCGGUGCUCGAGUUGUAAUUUGGAGGGGUAUCUUUGGGAUCGGCACCCACCCCAUGUUCCUUGGAACAGGACGUCGUGGAGGGUGAGAAUCCCGUGCACGGGUGGGUGUCCGUUUUCCAUGCAAAGUGCCUCCGACGAGUCGAGUUGUUUGGGAAUGCAGCUCAAAUUGGGUGGUAAAUUUCAUCUAAAGCUAAAUACAGGCGAGAGACCGAUAGCGCACAAGUAGAGUGAUCGAAAGAUGAAAAGCACUUUGAAAAGAGAGUUAAAAAGUACGUGAAAUUGUUGAAAGGGAAGCGCUUGAGAUCAAACUCGGCCGUUGGCGACCGACCGUGCUUCUGCGCGGUGUACUCGUUGGCGGCUGGGCCAGCAUCGGUUCCGAAACGUGUGGGAAACACGGACGGGGAAUGUAGCUCGUGCUCGCGUACGAGUGUUAUAGACCCGGCCUGUCGAUGCCGCCAGUCGGGACCGAGGUCAGUGCGUCGACCUGGGAAACCGGGGAGGCAAUGAUGCUGGCGAAACGGUCUUAAGCGACCCG